rnacentral:rRNA from 1 species
UGGGGAAUAUUGUGCAAUGGGCGAAAGCCUGACGCAGCGACGCCGCGUGAGGGAUUAAGGUUUUCGGAUCGUAAACCUCUGUCAGAAGGGAAGAAACCGCACUGUGCUAAUCAGCAGUGCCUUGACGGUACCUUCAAAGGAAGCACCGGCUAACUCCGUGCCAGCAGCCGCGGUAAUACGGAGGGUGCAAGCGUUAAUCGGAAUUACUGGGCGUAAAGCGCACGUAGGCUGCUUUGUAAGUCAGGGGUGAAAUCCCACGGCUCAACCGUGGAACUGCCUUUGAUACUGCUUAGCUUGAAUCCGGGAGAGGGUGGCGGAAUUCCAGGUGUAGGAGUGAAAUCCGUAGAUAUCUGGAGGAACAUCAGUGGCGAAGGCGGCCACCUGGACCGGUAUUGACGCUGAGGUGCGAAAGCGUGGGGAGCAAACAGG